UACGAAGGGGGGCUAGCGUUGCUCGGAAUUACUGGGCGUAAAGGGCGCGUAGGCGGCGACCCCAAGUCAGAUGUGAAAGUCCUGGGCUUAACCUGGGGACUGCAUUUGAUACUGGGUUGCUUGAAUUCGGGAGAGGAUAGCGGAAUUCCCAGUGUAGAGGUGAAAUUCGUAGAUAUUGGGAAGAACACCGGUGGCGAAGGCGGCUAUCUGGACCGACAUUGACGCUGAGGCGCGAAAAGCGUGGGGGAGCGAACAGGG
rnacentral:rRNA from 1 species